UGGACUUUUAUGUAAAGAUAUCGAUGGUCUGUUAGUUCACUUGUUCGAACCAUAUUAAGAUUGCACGUCUUUUAUUUUUCAUUUUAACUGCAAAUUUGAGUAUUUCUUGCGUAAAAUCUAACAAAAUGUAUUUAGUUUUUUUUCAAUCAAAAUUCAAAUGCAGGACAUUUGACUUUUAAGAACUAGUUUUGAAUUUGAUAGAUUUAUACAAUAGCGUUGUAUUUGCGCUUUCUUUUUAAACUUUUAAAUCAAGACUGUUUUAACGAAGGUUGAUCAAAUAUUUAUAUAUGGUUGUUGUUGUUAUUUAAAGCAAUGUUCUUUUUGUUCGUUUAGCUGGUCUAUAAUUGUGAGAAAUUCAAGAAAUUAAUUUAUCUAUUAUACGAAUUUACAACCAAGUGCAAUGUGAUGGCAUGGGUUUAUUAAAGAGCAUCUUAAUGAUAUAAAAAGGUACGAAUUCAGCGGAGUUUGAUCCGUAUUUUAUUUGUGGACUUGAUAUAAAUAUAUUAUCCACCAUUUAACCUUUAUGAACAAUUAGCUUAAAGCGUCGUGGAUUAUAUUCCUCCCUCGUUUGUUUUUGUUUUUUAAUGACAAAUUUCUGAGCUGAUCAUCAUCCCCGUUUGUAUAGCAUGUACUGAAACACUUCUGUGUAAACUCAACCCCCCAUCUUCUGUCAUUUCUACUUCACUGUAUACCGGUAACAGUUUCCAUGUAUGGCCUUACGAUAGCAGUAGAUUUUAUCUAUUCACAUUCGUGUAAAUUAUCCCUUCAAAGUAUUUAUAAUGUACUGUAAGGUGGCAAGAAGUAUUGAAGCAGUCUUUGGAGAUUCAUUCACUUUUUAUGGGCAUGCUCAGUAAAGCUUUUAUUUUUUAGCGUCUUGUUGCGUGAGAAUAGUAGAAAGUACGAUGAUUGUUGGUGAACUCUGGUAAGGACAUCAAAGGUCGUCGAUUUAUCUUGAUAUUGUGUAGAAUGUUGUACCACGAUUCUAUCUAUAGGAAUACAUUGAUAUCUUUGAAACAAACAAUUGUCAAAAUUUAACUUUUUUUUUUAAACAUUGAUGUAUUGUUCUCAUUAACUACCAAGAUUGUGGUAUAUUUGGUAUGUGUGUGUAAGUCAAUAUUAUUGAUAUAUUUACUGUAUCCAUGGUAUAUGUGUUGUGUGACAUAAAAGCUUAAAAAUUGUGCAACAUGAUAUUCUCUCUCAAUAGCUGUAAAUUAGCUAUAUAAUCAGGCUUCGAUUUUCUUUUCGGGUAUAUUGUUUCUGCCAAAAUUUGAAAUUAAAAGUCUAUUGUGGAAGUGUUUGUUGCUCGUGUUAUGACUGAUCUGGGACUGGUUUUCCGAAAGUGUCAUUGAAUUACAAUUUACAGAAAUUAAUGAAAAGGAAAUCAGGAUAAUUGCAAAGUACUUUGAUAAAGUUAUGCUUUAUUGCUGUAAUCUGAUAUGUUAAUCUAAUCAAAGGAAUCAGGUGGUUGUGUUCAUUUAAUAAAUAAUGCUUAUAAUACCGCUUCCGGAGUCUCAUCAAGCUUAGAUUACAAGUCCGAGGGGCAUUAUUACGGCACUUCAGCUAAUCGUUUCACGGUAUUUAAAUUGUACUUAAAAAUUACAGUGCUUGUUCUUUUAUUUAUUAGUUAAGGCAUUCUCCCUCCAGACAUAAAUAUGGUUUAAGAAAUUGUUUAUACUUAGACCGUCUUUAAUCCGAUCAACCAUAAAACUAUUAAUAAAAAAAAAUCCUAUACUUAAAGAAGAGGGCUUUGCAUCUAGGACAUUUUUUAUCAGAGAGAUGCGACUUGACUGACAAGUGAAGAAAAAUAUAUAAAAUAGAGAAUGGAUUACUUUCGAAGACCUGAAUUAUUUGAAACUCUUCAUGUCAACACGAAUAUUGAGUAUGUGCUGCCUUCCCCGCUAAUGGCGGAGUCAUCUGGAGAACCGAUGCUGAUGAUACACGGUGGGCCUGGCUGUUCAUGCCUACAAAACAGAUCGCUACAGACCCCUAAAAAAGUACUGGACCAAGAUCUGUUUCACCUUAUUGAUAGUUACUGUUGCGAAGAGUCCGAUCUCGACAUUGAAACCCAGAAUUUUGACUGUGUAAAGGAUGUAGUAGACAUUUUGUGUGACUGUAGUGAAACUGAAUUAGAAACACUGGAACUAACCAUUGAUACCAAAGAACAUCAAAAUGACGAAUGUUUUUCAAACUCUGUAAUGUACACAAACUUAUUACAAGAACCGUCAUUUAAUUGUAGAAAAUAUGAACGGCAUUUCGGAGAGAAGGUAACUGCAAUCGAGGAAACGGUGAAAAAUACUAGUAUUCCUAAUGGAGUUUGUUCGAGUGGAUUUUCUUCCCUUUGGUUAUCUCCUGGAAAUAGUGCACGCAAUUUGUAACAAAUUUCGGAAUUUUGUUUAACAUAGUGCUUUCUUCAUACAUAUGUACAUCUCAUCAUCAAACUUGCUCCGAAUCAAUUAAUCUUUCCUAAAUGUGUUCAAAUCAGCUCUCGGAAAAUUUCAUUAAUUGAAAUAAAGAUGCUAGAAAUUAA